CCUACGGGAGGCAGCAGUGGGGAAUAUUGGACAAUGGACCAAAAGUCUGAUCCAGCAAUUCUGUGUGCACGAUGAAGGUCUUCGGAUCGUAAAGUGCUUUCAGUAGGGAAGAAAAAAAAUGACGGUACCUACAGAAGAAGCGACGGCUAAAUACGUGCCAGCAGCCGCGGUAAUACGUAUGUCGCAAGCGUUAUCCGGAAUUAUUGGGCGUAAAGCGCGUCUAGGCGGUCUUUUAAGUCUGAUGUUAAAAUGCGGGGCUCAACUCCGUAUUGCGUUGGAAACUGGAAGACUAGAGUAUCAGAGAGGUGGGCGGAACUACAAGUGUAGAGGUGAAAUUCGUAGAUAUUUGUAGGAAUGCCGAUUGGGAAGCCAGCUCACUGGAUGAAUACUGACGCUGAAGCGCGAAAGCGUGGGGAGCAAACGGGAUUAGAUACCCCGGUAGUCCACGCCGUAAACGAUGAUCACUAAGUGUGGGGGGUCGAACCUCCGUGCUCAAGCUAACGCGAUAAGUGAUCCGCCUGGGGAGUACGCACGCAAGUGUGAAACUCAAAGGAAUUGACGG
rnacentral:rRNA from 1 species